rnacentral:SRP_RNA from 1 species
ACCAGGCGCGGUGGUGCGUGCCUGUAGUCCCAGCUACUCGGGAGGCUGAGGCUGGAGGAUCGCUUGAGCCCAGGAGUUCUGGGCUGUCGUGCGCUAUGCCAAUCGAGUAUCCGCACUAAGUUUGGCAUCAAUAUGGUGACCUCCCGGGAGCGGGGGACCACCAGGUUGCCUAAGGAGGGGUGAACCGGUCCAGGUCCGAAACAGAGCAGGUCAAAACUCCCGUGCUGAUCAGUAGUGGGAUCGCGCCUGUGAAUAGCCACUGCACUCCAGCCUGGCGACAGGGAGACGCUGCCUCU